UACGUAGGGGGCAAGCGUUGUCCGGAAUCAUUGGGCGUAAAGAGCGUGUAGGCGGCCCGGUAAGUCCGCUGUGAAAGCCCUCAGCUCAACUGAGGAAGCGCGCCCGAAACUACCGUUCUUGAGUGCCGGAGAGGGUGGCGGAAUUCCCGGUGUAGAGGUGAAAUUCGUAGAUAUCGGGAGGAACACCGGUGGCGAAGGCGGGUCUCUGGGCCGAUACUGACGCUGAGGAGCGAAAGCGUGGGGAGCGAACAGG
rnacentral:rRNA from 1 species